UUGAAUGAGCCAGUAUCUAUGGAUUUCCAUUAUGAUGGUAAAUAAACUGCUGACAGCAAGCAGCACACCCAGAUUUGGUUGGCCAGGUUUGAAACAUAUAAUAGUCUCCUUGUAAUCGAACUGGCUCUCUUGUCAAGAGCUGUGACCUUCAACAGAAACAAAUCAACUUUGAAGGGGAUAAAAAAGUUACUGUGAAAAGAAGGGAAUAGACAUGAAGAGGAAAGAACAAUACUGCAAAAAAACAUACUCUGUUUUCCUCAUCUGUAUCUUAAAAGCAUCGUGGAUUAAUUGUAGUUAUCAUGUGGAUGAUGUAAGACAUUGGCCUAAUUCUACCCUCAUCUUUAUUCCAGCAUUGCCUUUUACUUACCCUGUGAAGGAGGAAAUGCAAAAUUUCAACCAAUUUUGUAAA